rnacentral:rRNA from 1 species
CCUACGGGAGGCAGCAGUGAGGAAUAUUGGUCAAUGGGCGCGAGCCUGAACCAGCCAAGUAGCGUGAAGGAUGACUGCCCUACGGGUUGUAAACUUCUUUUAUAAAGGAAUAAAGUGAGGCACGCGUGCCUUUUUGUAUGUACUUUAUGAAUAAGGAUCGGCUAACUCCGUGCCAGCAGCCGCGGUAAUACGGAGGAUCCGAGCGUUAUCCGGAUUUAUUGGGUUUAAAGGGUGCGUAGGCGGCCUUUUAAGUCAGCGGUGAAAGUCUGUGGCUCAACCAUAGAAUUGCCGUUGAAACUGGGGGGCUUGAGUAUGUGUGAGGCAGGCGGAAUGCGUGGUGUAGCGGUGAAAUGCUUAGAUAUCACGCAGAACCCCGAUUGCGAAGGCAGCCUGCCGGGCCUUGACUGACGCUGAUGCACGAAAGCGUGGGGAUCAAACAGGAUUAGAUACCCUGGUAGUC